UACGGAGGGAGCUAGCGUUGUUCGGAAUUACUGGGCGUAAAGCGCGCGUAGGCGGCUUUGUAAGUUAGAGGUGAAAGCCCGGGGGCUCAACCCCCGGAACUGCCUUUAAGACUGCUUCUCUUGAGUCCCGGAGAGGAAGAUGGAAUUCCCGGUGUAGCGGUGAAAUGUGUAGAGAUCGGGAGGAACGCCGGUGGCGAAGGCGGUCUUCUGGACGGUGACUGACGCUGAGGCGCGAAAGCGUGGGGAGCAAACGG
rnacentral:rRNA from 1 species